rnacentral:lncRNA from 1 species
GGAACCCCAUUCCAAUCCCCACUUAACACACAUAGUUUCUUGGCUAAACUUUUUCUUCCCAAUCCAAACAACCUUGGUCUUGUCUAAGUUUAUAUUAAGACCUGAUAAAUCUGCAUAUUUAUCUAGAGUACGGAGAGAUGCAUCCAAAGAUUCAGGUGAUCCAUCAAGUAUAAGAGAGGUAUCAUCUGCAUAUUGUGAGAUGAGAUACUCUGAGUCAUCUAUAGUGAUUCCUUUAACUUUGUCAUUAUUUCGUAUAAGUAUACCAAGU